rnacentral:rRNA from 1 species
UACGUAGGGUGCAGGCGUUAAUCGGAAUUACUGGGCGUAAAGCGUGCGCAGGCGGUCUGCUAAGUCAGACGUGAAAUCCCCCGGCUUAACCUGGGAACUGCGUCUGAUACUGGGAGGCUUGAGUAUGGGAGAGGGAUGUAGAAUUCCAGGUGUAGCGGUGAAAUGCGUAGAUAUCUGGAGGAAUACCGGUGGCGAAGGCGGCAUCCUGGACCAUAACUGACGCUGAGGCGCGAAAGCUAGGGGAGCAAACGGG